rnacentral:lncRNA from 1 species
ACUUCAUUCUCUCUUCUACAAUCACCACAUCAGUAGGUCACUCCGCUUCAUCAUCGACCAACAUACUAUUCUUAAUCCUCUUUAUUGGAGGAAGUUCUUUUAAACACAGAACUCAAGGAAAAAAAUAUCAUCAUUAAAAUAUAUUUCAUGAGAAGGACUUGAGGCACUCGGGUACCUCAUUCAGUCCUCACAUUUACCAACUUUUACAUCUUUCAAGACUUCCACAAAUCCAACCACAACUUCAG